rnacentral:lncRNA from 1 species
CCAUUUAAUCCAUCCACAAUUCCAGUUUUCAGCUCAGUUACUGUCCCAGGAUUCAAAGAUCACGGAGGACUUCUUCCUCCACCUGUGAAUAUUCCUCCAAUGCUUACUGUCAAUCCUGUUCGUAGAUCACCUCAUCAGUCAGCUACAGCUCGGGUUCCAUAUGGUCCAAGGUUGUCUGGUGGCUAUAACAAAUCUGGAAAUCGGGUUCCACGUAACAAGCCGAGCUUCCAUAACGGUGAGCAUACAGGGGAUGGGAAUCAUUUCAGCCCUCCUAGAAUCAUGAACCCACAUGCAGCUGAAUUUGUGCCUUGCCAACCUUGGGUUCCCAAUGGCUAUCCAUUGCAACACAAUGGCUAUAUGGCCACCACAAAUGGUAUGCCAGUAUCUCCAAAUGGCUAUCCCAUUUCCCCAACCAGCAUUCCUGUGUCACC